AAGACUAUAGACCUGCGGAGUACCUGCGGAGGGAUCAUUGCUGGAAGGCGAGCCUAGCUCGCAUCUCCAAAACCCUUUGUGAACUUAUACCUUUAAUCGUUGCCUCGGCGUAGGCCGCAAGCCCUCGUGCUUGCCCUCUGGGCCCUCCCGUAGGGACAGAGGAGCAGUCCGCCGGUGGCCUACCAAACUCUUGUUUGUUAACUGUAUCUUUUGAGUUAUUAACAACAAUAAAUCAAAACU
rnacentral:misc_RNA from 1 species